AGUGAACGCUGGCGGUAGGCCUAACACAUGCAAGUCGAACGGCAGCACAGUAAGAGCUUGCUCUUACGGGUGGCGAGUGGCGGACGGGUGAGGAAUACAUCGGAAUCUACUUUUUCGUGGGGGAUAACGUAGGGAAACUUACGCUAAUACCGCAUACGACCUACGGGUGAAAGCAGGGGAUCUUCGGACCUUGCGCGAUUGAAUGAGCCGAUGUCGGAUUAGCUAGUUGGCGGGGUAAAGGCCCACCAAGGCGACGAUCCGUAGCUGGUCUGAGAGGAUGAUCAGACACACUGGAACUGAGACACGGUCCAGACUCCUACGGGAGGCAGCAGUGGAGAAUAUUGGACAAUGGGCGCAAGCCUGAUCCAGCCAUACCGCGUGGGUGAAGAAGGCCUUCGGGUUGUAAAGCCCUUUUGUUGGGAAAGAAAAGCAGCAGGUUAAUACCCCGCUGUUCUGACGGUACCCAAAGAAUAAGCACCGGCUAACUUCGUG
rnacentral:rRNA from 1 species